UACUCAGGGCAGGGUGCAAUUCCCGACCGGUAGUGAUGACGGCAUGACCGUAUAAGUCUACGAGCUAAGUGCAGAUAUGGUGAGAAUCCAUAACCGACAGUACAGUCUGGAUGAAAGAGGAGG
rnacentral:ncRNA from 1 species